AUUGAACGCUGGCGGCAGGCCUAACACAUGCAAGUCGAACGGUAACAGGAAGCAGCUUGCUGCUUUGCUGACGAGUGGCGGACGGGUGAGUAAUGUCUGGGAAACUGCCUGAUGGAGGGGGAUAACUACUGGAAACGGUAGCUAAUACCGCAUAACGUCGCAAGACCAAAGAGGGGGACCUUCGGUCCUCUUGCCAUCGGAUGUGCCCAGAUGGGAUUAGCUAGUAGGUGGGGUAACGGCUCACCUAGGCGACGAUCCCUAGCUGGUCUGAGAGGAUGACCAGCCACACUGGAACUGAGACACGGUCCAGACUCCUACGGGAGGCAGCAGUGGGGAAUAUUGCACAAUGGGCGCAAGCCUGAUGCAGCCAUGCCGCGUGUAUGAAGAAGGCCUUCGGGUUGUAAAGUACUUUCAGCGGGGAGGAAGGGAGUAAAGUUAAUACCUUUGCUCAUUGACGUUACCCGCAGAAGAAGCACCGGCUAACUCCGUG
rnacentral:rRNA from 1 species